rnacentral:lncRNA from 1 species
CUAUUACAUUUUUUUUUAUAGGGAUGUAACCAUGCCCAAUGACCACUGUCAGAUGGUGGAAGAAGAAAAUGAAAAGGAAUAGGAAAAAUCCUAUUCAUGGAAAUUUGGCAACCCGUCAACUUGAAUCAAGCAAUGGCUAUAGCUCAGAAACUAGAAAAAAAGAAAAGGAGCUGAUUUAGCAACCUUAUCUCGUCACCAGCAUGCUCUUCAAGGCCAAAUGAUGGUAGACCCCUCCAAGGAAAGCUCAAACUCUGGCUCUUAUAGAGGGUUGCUCACUGGCAGUUGAUCAAAGAUUAGGUAUGGGGC